rnacentral:rRNA from 1 species
AGCAGCCGCGGUAAUUCCAGCUCCAAUAGCGUAUAUUAAAGUUGUUGCAGUUAAAAAGCUCGUAGUUGAAUUUCGGGGUCAGCAAGUUGGUCGUGCCAAUGGUAUGCACUGGCCUCGCUGAUUCCUCCCUCUUGAUGAGCCGUAAUGUCAUUAGUUUGGUGUUGCGGGGAAUCAGGACUGUUACUUUGAAAAAUUGGAGUGUUUAAAGCAGGCAAGCGCUUAGAAUACAUUAGCAUGGAAUAAUGAAAUAGGACGUUUGAUCCUAUUUUGUUGGUUUCUAGGAUUGACGUAAUGAUUAAUAGGGAUAGUUGGGGGCAUUAGUAUUCAAUUGUCAGAGGUGAAAUUCUUGGAUUUAUUGAAGACUAACUACUGCGAAAGCAUUUGCCAAGGAUGUUUUCAUUAAUCAAGAACGAAAGUUAGGGGAUCGA